AGAGUUUGAUCCUGGCUCAGGAUGAACGCUGGCGGCGUGCUUAACACAUGCAAGUCGAACGAUGAAGCCCAGCUUGCUGGGCGGAUUAGUGGCGAACGGGUGAGUAACACGUGAGUAACCUGCCCUUGACUCUGGGAUAAGCCUUGGAAACGAGGUCUAAUACCGGAUAGGAGCGCCUACCGCAUGGUGGGUGCUGGAAAGAAUUUCGGUCAUGGAUGGACUCGCGGCCUAUCAGCUUGUUGGUGAGGUAAUGGCUCACCAAGGCGACGACGGGUAGCCGGCCUGAGAGGGUGACCGGCCACACUGGGACUGAGACACGGCCCAGACUCCUACGGGAGGCAGCAGUGGGGAAUAUUGCACAAUGGGCGAAAGCCUGAUGCAGCGACGCCGCGUGAGGGAUGACGGCCUUCGGGUUGUAAACCUCUUUCAGUAGGGAAGAAGCGAAAGUGACGGUACCUGCAGAAGAAGCACCGGCUAACUACGUGCCAGCAGCCGCGGUAAUACGUAGGGUGCGAGCGUUAUCCGGAAUUAUUUGGGCGUAAAGAGCUCGUAGGCGGUUUGUCGCGUCUGUCGUGAAAGUCCGGGGCUUAACCCCGGAUCUGCGGUGGGUACGGGCAGACUAGAGUGCAGUAGGGGAGACUGGAAUUCCUGGUGUAGCGGUGGAAUGCGCAGAUAUCAGGAGGAACACCGAUGGCGAAGGCAGGUCUCUGGGCUGUAACUGACGCUGAGGAGCGAAAGCAUGGGGAGCGAACAGGAUUAGAUACCCUGGUAGUCCAUGCCGUAAACGUUGGGCACUAGGUGUGGGGACCAUUCCACGGUUUCCGCGCCGCAGCUAACGCAUUAAGUGCCCCGCCUGGGGAGUACGGCCGCAAGGCUAAAACUCAAAGGAAUUGACGGGGGCCCGCACAAGCGGCGGAGCAUGCGGAUUAAUUCGAUGCAACGCGAAGAACCUUACCAAGGCUUGACAUGUUUUCGACCGCCGUAGAGAUACGGUUUCCCCUUUGGGGCGGAUUCACAGGUGGUGCAUGGUUGUCGUCAGCUCGUGUCGUGAGAUGUUGGGUUAAGUCCCGCAACGAGCGCAACCCUCGUUCCAUGUUGCCAGCACGUAAUGGUGGGGACUCAUGGGAGACUGCCGGGGUCAACUCGGAGGAAGGUGGGGACGACGUCAAAUCAUCAUGCCCCUUAUGUCUUGGGCUUCACGCAUGCUACAAUGGCCGGUACAAUGGGUUGCGAUACUGUGAGGUGGAGCUAAUCCCAAAAAGCCGGUCUCAGUUCGGAUUGGGGUCUGCAACUCGACCCCAUGAAGUCGGAGUCGCUAGUAAUCGCAGAUCAGCAACGCUGCGGUGAAUACGUUCCCGGGCCUUGUACACACCGCCCGUCAAGUCACGAAAGUCGGUAACACCCGAAGCCGGUGGCCUAACCCUUGUGGGGGGAGCCGUCGAAGGUGGGACCAGCGAUUGGGACUAAGUCGUAACAAGGUAGCCGUACCGGAAGGUGCGGCUGGAUCCACCUCCUU
rnacentral:rRNA from 1 species